rnacentral:tRNA from 1 species
GCAGGGGUUCCAGAGCUUGGUCAAAUGGGCAGGGCUUAGAACCCUGUGGCUUAGGCCUCCGCAGGUUCAAAUCCUGCCCCCUGCA